GAAAAAAUUAGCAAUUAUUUUGCUCGAUUCAGAGCUUAAUAAGUUAAAAGGAUGUCCCAUGUACCAUCAACCUCUCAACGAAGAAACUUUAGCUAAUUCUGAUCUUGAGAUCCUGGAUAAUCCAUCUGACGUGGUCGAAGAGAAACGUCCCGCCCCAAUCACUAUCAUUCCCACGGACCAAUGUGAAAUACUUGCCGGCCUCUGCAACUACAUCAUGUCGAUCAAUGAUGCUGGGUGUUUGGAAAAGGUAUGGGUCCGGAGCUCCACACCCGAUCCAAUGAGCUUAAGUCUUAAGAAACUUCAGUGCAUACUUAACAUGGAGCAGCCCAUGGACAAUGAUUGCUUCAACACCGCGGUGCUUAUGCUGGCAUGUGACGAGGGAGUAUUGUUCACAGACCCUCCUAUACACUACAUGGAUCUACGAUUUUGUGUAAGUUACCGUAACUCUUCAUUCUAGGUGCCAUUAGUAUCAACAUGUUGAAACAAUAUAUUUUUAUUUUACUUAGUCCAUGUUGCUAGAGUCAACACGAGGUCCGAAGUUUUGUGAGAAGAAUACUAUCCAGACAUUGGCAACAUUAUUUGAUAGCUGGCCUGGGAUGGAGACCGACAUCUCAUCUUGCAAUAAGAUUUAUCUUCCCUAUGCAUCCAUCGGCCGAUACAUCCUGUACAUCAUCAACAAAGAGGCACGUCGUCUAUAUAUUAUGGAUCCUAUUCAAUCAUCACAAUCGUCAGAGGAUAAAAACUUGAGGCAUUCACUGAAAUUAAAAAGUUUUUCAAGGGAUUUCAAAGAAGCACUCGAAAUGAAACUGCCUGGGUGGA